GCCCAUGUAUUGUCUUGCCGGACGCAAGGGACUUAAAAUCCCUCGGGAGUAAUCCUGUACCGGUUCAAGUCCGGUCCCGGGCA
rnacentral:tRNA from 1 species